ACUCCUGCGGGAGGCAGCAGUGGGGAAUAUUGGACAAUGGGCGCAAGCCUGAUCCAGCCAUGCCGCGUGAGUGAUGAAGGCCCUAGGGUUGUAAAGCUCUUUCACCGGUGUAGAUAAUGACGGUAACCGGAGAAGAAGCCCCGGCUAACUUCGUGCCAGCAGCCGCGGUAAUACGAAGGGGGCUAGCGUUGUUCGGAUUUACUGGGCGUAAAGCGCACGUAGGCGGACUAUUAAGUCAGGGGUGAAAUCCCGGGGCUCAACCCCGGAACUGCCUUUGAUACUGGUAGUCUUGAGUUCGAGAGAGGUGGGUGGAAUUCCGAGUGUAGAGGUGAAAUUCGUAGAUAUUCGGAGGAACACCAGUGGCGAAGGCGGCUCACUGGCUCGAUACUGACGCUGAGGUGCGAAAGCGUGGGGAGCAAACAGGAUUAGAAACCCCUGUAGUCCCAU
rnacentral:rRNA from 1 species